UGGUGAUUUCCCAUGGCUCGUACCAAGCAGACAGCGCGAAAGUCCACCGGCGGCAAGGCGCCACGGAAGCAGCUGGCCACCAAGGCCGCUCGUAAGAGCGCCCCGGCCACCGGCGGCGUCAAGAAGCCUCACCGCUACCGGCCCGGCACCGUGGCGCUGCGCGAGAUCCGCCGCUACCAGAAGUCCACCGAGCUGCUGAUCCGCAAGCUGCCCUUCCAGCGCCUGGUGCGCGAGAUCGCGCAGGACUUCAAGACCGACCUGCGCUUCCAGAGCUCGGCCGUCAUGGCUCUGCAGGAGGCCUGCGAGGCCUACCUGGUGGGGCUGUUCGAGGACACCAACCUGUGCGCCAUCCACGCCAAGCGCGUCACUAUCAUGCCCAAGGACAUUCAGCUGGCCCGCCGCAUCCGCGGGGAAAGGGCGUGAGCUCAAGACUCCCUAGCCACCUUCCCAAAGGCUCUUUUCAGAGCCACCAAAGUCCUCAGUGAUAGUGCUGCUCCACAUUGAGUUAGGCUUGGUCUUUUCUUUUCCUCGUGGCUCACGUGAGAAGAUCCUCGGCACCACAAGGUAUUUUUCGUUACUCAAAUCGGUGAACCUUGAUCGGAAGGGCGUCAGGUUGCGGGAACUUGAAAGAGUUAAUUUUACAUUGGCUCUGGAGCCAGGCCGUGUAGUACAGUAGGCAACUGUGGGAAGUGGACUUGUUGUUUGGGGAGCUAUUGGAGAUUGAGCUGAGUCACAUCCCCAGCCAUCACUAAGUUGCUUAGGGUCUCGCUGAAAUGCUGAGGCUAGCCCUGAACUAGGCUAGUCCUCGGCCGCAGCUUCAGGAGUCGAUGGAAUUACAGGCGUGCACUACCGCGCUCCGCUGAGGAGUCCUUUCAAAGGAUGAUUGCUUCCUCCACUAAGGUAGAGUUUGCCAAUAGGUCAUCUUGCGGGUUGUGAAUGCUACAUAGUUGGGUGGCGGACAACUAUCCCUACAGGUUCCCAGGAGGUGAAAUUGUUAUGUUAAGGGAUGGCACCUUUCAGGAAACAGGCACCCCAAAAUGUCCUACCCAUCCCACCCGGAUUCAUGAGCUCAAGUGAGGAAGUUUUACGUCCGUACCUCAGUAACAGGCACGAGACUAUUAGAAUGGCAAAGGAGAAAAGAGAACACACAGAGUGGUCCUUAUAGAGAGGAGAGGGACGGGGUGCGCUCCAGUUUUAUUGGGAAUUCCCAGAGGUUUCCACAAGUCCCCAUCUUUACUUGGGAUUGACAGCCUGGGAGCUGCAUGGACCUUCUCCAAGAUAGGAUGGUGUGAUGUUCAGAAUUGGAAUUUUUAAGAAAAUUGAGAACCCCUGUCAGUUUCCUGCCCCUUCAAUCAGUUUAUUACCUACCCUUUGGACAGCUACCAUCAAGCUUUCUGUGUGAGGGUCCUGAUGUUCUGGUUGCCAGGGUGAUGGGGGUUUGUGACAGGUUUCUGUGAUAAGGGAGGGUACAGGCUACCGGGGAGGCUGUGACUUUGUUGUAGGGACAAAUGCACCAAAGAUAGCAGGAAACAGUUUUAUUUGGCUGCAGCCAGGUUCAGAGGGUAUAGCCUUUGCUGUAAUCAAUCAAUCCCCUGAACCCCAAGUUCAGGGAGUUUUAGGAUUUUAUACCCAGCGUGUAAGGGGAGGGGCUCAGAAGUUCACAUAAAAGCAGCUUUUUCUUUCACUGUUGUGGGCAAGUUAACCCUUCAAGGACAACACCUGAGAAGGGGGGAGCUUCUUCUCCCCUCUUCCCUCCCCCUGCCAGCUGUUACCAUGGAGCCCAAUUGUAACUUAUCUUAAAAAUGUAGACAUCUCUGUGAAGCCCAGCUCAAGGCCAGAGGCCUUGUUUGCACAUUUCUUCAAAAGUUUGUGAAAAACUAGUAAGGGGGUGUCCAGCACCUGGAGUGCUGGUAUCUUCUCGGCCAGUGGCCUAGUAAACAGGGUGACAUGAAAAUAGGAAGUUUAUCUACAUUGGACUCUUGCAGAGACUCUUUUGUUGACAGUCCCCAAAUCAGCCAUGGUGAAGAGGGCUUUUCUGUGGAGAAACGGGGUGCCACUUCAACUUGCUCUUGAAACUAGCUUUUUUUGUUUGUUCAUUUGGUACUGGGGAUUGAACCCAGGGGCACUUUAGCACUGAGCUACAGCCCUUUUUUAGUUUACAGUUUGAGACAGGGUGUCACUAAGUUGCUUAGGGCUCUGAUAAUUUGCUGAGGCUGGUCUUGGGACUAGAAAUCCUCCUGCCUCAGAUGUGACUAUGGGUGAGGGAGGUUUGACAUACCAGGCCCCAUCUUCCAGGUGCGUAUCUGUCAGACGAGUCUCCCUGUGGUUUUCACUCCUUUCCUGCUCUUCCAUUCAGGGCUGAACUAGCUACCUAACAGGUGGGUCUCAUAUUCUCUUACCCAGUACUAUGAUUGUUAAAGUGUCACUCCUGACCUGAAAGAACCAAACCUGAAUUCAGCUGAGCCAGCUGAACCACUGUUACCAGAAAGAAGGACAUGGUCGUGUUCAAAUGAGCAUUCUGGUUCCCAAGAGAACUGACGUUUUGUCUGGCAGUGACUCACCUGAUAAUCUCAUAGGAUAAAGCUCUGAAAUGUACAUUCCCAUGCUAAGAUUGUGAUGUUGUAAAGUUAGCACCUUAGCCUUUGGUCUUAUUUGCAGGAGCCUAGUAGUGCAGCCAUGGGCCUGAGGGGCAAUUCAGGGGCAUUAGGCCAUCUUAACUGUAGGCCAAUCACCUGAUGCUACACUAGUGAUUUACCAGGCAGAAGCCAGAGUGGAUACCACCUGGUACAGACCUGUCUCACCUGGGGCAACUGAAAGCUUCUAAAGACUUGGACCCUUGCAUGACUGAUGUGCAUGAAGUCCUAACCCAGGAGACAAGGUGCUGCCUAACAUCUGUGAAGCUAAGUGGUAACAGUUACACUUUGCUAUUUCUUUUUUCCCCUGUAGAAGAUGCAAGUCAUAGACCAAAGAUUUGUUGUUUUUGCUCGCUGCUUUAUUUCUAGGAUGGAUUGCUAAUUUGCUAUCACUCAGGCACAGAUUGCUCCAACUCAGCCCUCCAAAGGCUUUAGGAAAACAGAAGAUUCCAUUUUGGAAAAGACAUCAAUAGCCAGGGCAGAAGGCCUGAUUUCCUUCAAUGGAAAAGACAGACACACAGGCCCAUGCAAAGGUCUUCCUGCUCUAUUUCAAGGACACUGGCUGGGAUUUUAGAGUCUUCUGAGGUCUGCUGUUUCAAAUGGAAUGCACACUUAAGUGUGAACUUAGAAAUUAUGGUUUCGUUUGAUGCUCCUUCCUUCAAAAACUGGAGCCUAAUUCUAGUCCCCUGCAUGUACCCUGAAUUUAGAGAUGAGCUUCUAAGGAAAAAAAAGUCCCACCGCUUAAAGAGGAGGUCAUGACAAGCACUGUACUUCCUACUGGCUAAAUCUAGAUGCUCUGGACCCCAGGGGCCAUGUGGAAGAACCCUCCAGCAACCCCUUGGAGAGGCCUGCCUAUUAAGAAAGUGAGGCCUUCAACAGUCAGCCAAGAACUAUAGCCAGGAAGUGAGCCAGUUCUGGCCCCUGUCACGCCUCAGAUGACUAUAGCCCCUGCAACAAGUGGACUCUGCACUUCCUGAAAUACCCCAAGCUAGACCCCACAGAGCUAAACCACUGUGUACCUCAUCUUCAGAAGGUGAGAGAGAGUAAACUUGCUGUUUUAAGCUGCUACAUUUUUUAGUAAUUUGUUUCACAGUGAGUAACUGAUGAGACAGGAGAGUCAGGAGUCAUCCUAAAGAAUCAAGUAGCCCAGGUGGGAGGAGUGCCCACAGCUUGGUCCCUGGCUACAGGGAAGUCUGGUCCACCGGACCUCUCCUUUCCUUCCCAGGAAUCUGCAGGAUUUAUUUGUGUUGCUAUCCAGAGGCUGAAAACUAGCCUAGUACACUAAGAAUUCAGGAGGAGGAGGAAAGCUGUGGCCUCUCAGGCAGAGAAGCUGUGCAGGUAAGCACCUCUGGCUAGCAGCUUUGAAGGAGAAAGAAAUCUUUAAGUUUUUCAGUUCACUUAGAAAUGAGUAAGACUCCAAGAAAUCAAUGUCCCUGUGAACAAGUAUUGACUUAUUAAACCAGUAUUCUAUUUUGUUUUAAUUUGCCAUUUCCAAGGAAACUGGCUAAGAAUUAACUCAGUUAAGAGACUGCAUGUGCAGGAAGCCUCUCUGACCUUGCCCUGUUAGUGCUAACAAUUGUUUCAUGCCCUUCUCUUUUAAGCUUUCCCACAUUUACUAUCACAUCUGACUAUUAAAGGAACAUUGUGAGGUAGGCACACAGUUAGGGUGUAGCUCAUUCAUGCAGGGAAGGGGUGGGGGGGGGGGCUUGGCACAGAAAAUGUUCUUGGUGCAGGUGGCCCAGGCAUUAUGGCUGCACCCUCCAGUUUUUGAAAAAUUUCUGUGUGUCAGAGGUACCAUCUCUAGUGGUCCUACUACUUGUUAAAUAAGCCUUUACAAAUCGUUAUUCUCCUUUUUCUACAUCCCACACAAAUUUAUACCAAUGCAGGGGAGGAGAAAUAUCUUCCUUCUAUUUAAAUUCAUAGGCCAGAGCUUCUGUAACAAAAGAUUAAUGAGAGAAAAGCAUGCAAAUGUAUUAAAUGUAAAUUUUGUAUGAACAGUCUUGUUAAGGCAAUGAGUACUACCAAAAAAAUAUAAGUCCUCAUGCCAAUCCAAUAAUGAGGACACAACUGUAAGGAAAAGAAAAAAAGAAGUCUUAUUGCUUUGCUAGCAAAGGAGAAAUACAGGGGACUUCUACCCCAGAGACUGUGAUUCUGCCUGUCAUGGGAAACAGGACUUUUAAAGAGGGGAUUCAAAGGCUACAUUCUAAGCUGUUCUUUGUCAUGGGUCAUAAUUCACAUGUAGCAUUUCUUAGACUUGGGGCCAUCCCUGAAGUCUAAAUUACUUCAUUCCUGUGGUACAUAAGCUCAAGGACAGGUAACCUGGCCUAGGAUGGGAAGAAAAGUGAUCUUGAUUCCCCAAGGUUAGGGAGGGGAAGAGGGAAAAGAGGUGAGGGAAGGGGAUAUCAGUUUUAAAAUAAGCCUCAGUGGCAGAACAGUGAAGCAUGAAAUGAACCUGUUGCAUUUGGACCCAAAGCAGUUAAACUGGAAUGUUGCAUGCUGGGGGUGGGGGUGGGGGGGUAGUUACCAAGGCCAGCUCACCAGAGGGAGUCCUGUGGCUCUCUGUCAUUGAACAUAAGGGCAUUCCUUUCCUCUGGACUUAAGACUUCAAGGGAAGGUCAGAAAUCCUUCUUGCAUGUGCUAUUUCUCAAGUUCCUGCAACUUUAAAUACCCCAAAUCCUGGGAUAGCAUGCUCUGAACCCAUCACUCACAGUUGAUUUCGUUAUUUGAAUGCCAUUUUCCUGAACUACCUGUCAGAGGUACCAUCUCUAGUGGUCCUACUACUUAUUAAAUAAGCCAUUGCAAAUCAUUAUUCUCCUUUUUUUCUACAAAACAGGUCUUUCCCUUUCUUUAAGAGAUGUUUUAGAGGUUAAAUGAGGUGAUAUGAGACAGUGCCUUGAUCAAUGCCCCAGAGAACAAGUUAGUUUCCUCUCUGGAUUUUGGUUAGGAGAGCUGGAGAAACAAACCGAAGUCCUCUGAUGAGACUAAACUGGGGUUUAACUCUUGUCACUGGUUAAAACUUAGUCAUUGAAUUGGAUAGCUUCCUAACACAUAAACAAGUCAAUUUUAUGGCUAAUCUAAUAGGCAAAUAGCUAAUCUUAUUUCUUUGGCAAUCUGUUAGCUUUUGUUUUCCACAAGGCAGAUUCCCCCCAUACUUCUCUUCAAAUUCUGGACACUACAUGGAAUACAUGAAGCAUCAAUCUAGGAGGCAGAAAAGAUGUUGGAAACAUUAGUUGAAAACUAACACUCACAGGGCUGCUGAUGCUCCCCAGAAGUGCCGAGGUCCUGAAAGGCCUUCAACAGGAGAGCAAGCAGAGUUCCAACCAUGCACUCUAAUCCAAGCUCAGGGAGGUUUCCACUUCAUAACGGGAGCUGCUGCCAGAAGCACUCCCCACUGGCCUGGCUCUUAUAAGGAUUUGGGCCAUGGAAACAUACAAGGGAGCAUUCCUCUGGUGAGCAAACUCCCGGAGGGUAAGGGGCACCCGGUUAUCCACACUUGGAAUAUUCUACAGUUUCUCCCUGAGACUAGUAAGAUAACUCAUACAUGUCAGUGCCUAGCUGCUGCCUUCAUGAGGAGGCUCUGUGCUAGGGUCUUAUCAGCCUCCAUCUUAGUGUCAGACACUCAGCUUCUGGGCAUGAAGGAACUUAGAAAGUUCCUUUAUAAAUAAAGCUGGCCGCUCAGAUGAGGAGUGCCCUUUUUACUUCGCCCCUGCAUCUUGCUUGCUUCUGUAUAGGCUCUCAUCAGGAAAGAGGGUUUAAGAUGUAAAAAACUGAAUUUAUUUAGGUGUCCCUGCUGAUAAUGAUAAUAAAAAAACUUGAAUACAUUUAAAAUGCUGUUCUUUCUGAAAUGGAAAAUGAGAGAAGCUGUAUUAAAAUUUUCAUUUACAUAAGUAGCCCGAAAGAGGGGUUACACGCACUAGUUCUAUAUAAGAAAAUAUGCUUUGAGUGUUUUAAUUUAAAUUGAAGAAAAAUCUUCAGAUUCUUAAUGCAGAAGAAAUUUUUCGACUUCACUUGUAUUCAGAGACAUUCGAAUGAAAACAGCAAACUGUAUAACACCCAUCAGACUGGCAGAAUAAGAAAGCUAGUGUCUGAGUCCCCUAGUACUGUGACAGCAAAAGGUUCCAGAGCCACCUGUUUGUUGGCUUACGAACAAGAUACUGCCCUCUGUUCUAGGCUAAGCAGUCCAGUAUGAUCCAUUUCCUUGUUCACUGAACAGUGAACCUCAAGCUGUGUCCUAAGACUGCAGAAGGGGCAGGCAGAGCUCUGGGACCUCCACUAUUAAAGCCCUGAUCCCAUUGUAAAAUCCUUGAACUGGUGACCUGAUCUCCUCCUGAGGCCCUGGCUCUCAGCACCAUCACUUGGGGGAUUGGGCUUCAACAUAUGAAUUUUGGCACGACAGGAACAUUCCAUCCAAAGCACCAAAUGUAACUGUGCCUUGGUAGGAAGUGGAGAGACCCAUGUGCUGAGGUGGCCCUUUGCCAUGACUUUGUACAAGAUGGAUUGGAGAACCACCAGCCAUCUCUCCCAUGCCAGGCCCGUGCCCCAAGGAAGCCUACAGAUCCAUGAAGUCAUAUUCAUGAUAAUAGGAAGGCAGGGAGAAUUUAAGGGGAUAAGUAAAAUAAGAGUGUAGGAAUACCAAAAAAUGCCUUCUUUUGUCUAAGGUAAGAUUAGAAGUAAAUGGCAAAAGCCAAAGCUGAACUCAAGACUAAGUCCCCCUUCCUACAGGCACCAGUUCACACCUGGGAACACCAGUGCUGGGAACUGAAUGGGAUGGCCUAGCUCUAGUCCAAGUAGGCUGAUGACCACAGAAGGAGUCCGACCUGUGUGGCUUUUAGAGAAAGCCACAUGGGAGUGCCUGUCUGUGAAAACUCCUGCCCCAGCCUGAGGCCAGAAAGGAGAGUCGGCCUGGUAGUAGAGGGCUACAUCAUCUUUACCUUGGAUUCUGUUCUCGAGACAUCCAGGUUGGGAGAUGUUAGCAAGAGGUGAGGAAGAGAGUAAGAGCUAAAUAUUGGCCUGAAAUGCAUGAAAACCAGCAAAACUGAGGGAAGUCUAGAGGGGAGCCUAACGAUCUGCUGGGAGCCAUUAGCCAAGUAGGUAUGACAAUUUCCUUGCCAGCGUACCCCAUGUUGCUUAGUGGAAGGACUCGUGGAAAUAGGACAUUUUGCAGUGACAUUGCAUGUAGGUGACCUUGCNGUUGCUGUUUGAAUCUACAAACUGUGUGGUGGCUCGUGAUUGUGUGCCCAGCCAGACUGUGGCAAUGAUCACCAUUGGCUACGUGCAUAAGGACACUAUAAUGUGUCACCCAAAAUAUGCCUCUUUGGCAUAAGGAUUAUUUUAAGCAGAUGGUCUUGAGAAACUAUAGACAUGGGACAAGUUCUGAGACCAAAGGGUUCUUUUGUAAGGGGAAUUUACAUCUAAGCUGGAAGUCUCCAUUUGUAAUGCUCUCUCCCUCUCCAUGCCAGGAAAGAAAGGAGGGCUGCCUCAAGAUGGAUUCUCAGUGACCAUUUGCAGGCCAAUCCUUUUCUUGUUGCCAUGCUUCUCCAAGUCCCCAUAACUGGCCUCCCAUUCCUGCUCCUGUUCCAGCUGAAGAUAGUUUCUAUGCCACUUCUAUGAGGUGCUCAAAUUCCUUCAUAUCUUUUGUUUAUAUAUGAAAUAUACAUCCC
rnacentral:lncRNA from 1 species